AAGGAAAUAGCAUAUCCAACAGCAGACCAUGAAGCCUAAAGUCAUCUGAAGGGAAGGACAGUGUCUCUGAAGGAGACUCAAAUUGUUCUUUUGUGUUGCUCCUUUUUUGGUUGUUAGUUUGGGGUUUGUUUUGUUUUGGUUGUUGUUUUAUUUUUAUUAUCAUUAUUUUUAAGAACUUGACAUCUCCCCUCUUCUGGUGUCUACAACAGAAGCAGCAUUGGGUGGCACAUGGGAUCUCUUUGAGACUCAGGAGUCACUUCAGCUUCCAGAUGAUGGCUCUGUCUGCAAGAAUGGAAGCAAGGAGAGCCGUUAGAAGACUAUUCCAUUAAAUAAAGAGGAGAAGCUUGGUUCCCUCACAUGGGUGUGGUGUGAAGAUUUGCUCAAAGCCAAAAGUAAGUGAUAAAAUAGUCUCUAAAAGGAUCCUUUUAUGUCUAAGACUCUAGAAUUCUGUGAUUAUAGGAUAUGGAAUAGAAAUUAAUGCAGUAUGUUUCACAUAAAUGAGCAGAUCUAGGAUUAGAAGUAUGUCAUAAUUUGAAGACAACCCCGAAUUUAUUUUUAGGCUACAUGAAUCUUUCAAGGUCUCUGAUUUUUUAAACAACCCACUCUAGCUAGUUUAAGAAAAAAAACUCCCC
rnacentral:lncRNA from 1 species